AUUGAACGCUGGCGGCAGGCUUAACACAUGCAAGUCGAGCGAGCGGCGGACGGGUGAGUAAUGUCUGGGAAACUGCCUGAUGGAGGGGGAUAACUACUGGAAACGGUAGCUAAUACCGCAUACCAUCAGAUGUGCCCAGAUUGGAUUAGCUAGUAGGUGGGGUAAUGGCUCACCUAGGCGACGAUCCCUAGCUGGUCUGAGAGGAUGACCAGCCACACUGGGACUGAGACACGGUCCAGACUCCUACGGGAGGCAGCAGUGGGGAAUAUUGGGCAAUGGGCGAAAGCCUGAUGGAGCCAUGCCGCGUGUGUGAAGAAGGCCUUAGGAUUGUAAAGUACUGUCGGCGGGGAGGCGUUACCCGCAGAGGAAGCAACGGCUAACUCCGUGCCAGCAGCCGCGGUAAUAC
rnacentral:rRNA from 1 species